GUGAAUCAUCAAAUUUUUGAACGCAAAUUGCACUCUCUUCGGAGAGUAUGCCUGUUUGAGGGUCAGCCUAAAAAAAAUCGACGUAGUCGCUGUUUGCCGUUGCCUUUGGCGGGAAUUUGGGUAUCUUAAACCUUUUGGGUUUUUUAGCCGCUUUAAAUUUUUUUUUCGGUUUCAAGAAAGGUUUUUAGAUUUU
rnacentral:misc_RNA from 1 species